AGUCUGGAGAAGCGUCCUCA
rnacentral:snRNA from 1 species